rnacentral:rRNA from 1 species
AUGGACGGUACAAAGAGCUGCAAGACCGCGAGGUGGAGCUAAUCUCAUAAAACCGUUCUCAGUUCGGAUUGUAGGCUGCAACUCGCCUACAUGAAGCUGGAAUCGCUAGUAAUCGCGGAUCAGCAUGCCGCGGUGAAUACGUUCCCGGGCCUUGUACACACCGCCCGUCACACCACGAGAGUUUGUAACACCCGAAGUCGGUGGGGUAACCUUUUUGGAGCCAGCCGCCUAAGGUGGGACAGAUGAUUGGGGUGAAGUCGUAACAAGGUAGCCGUAUCGGAAGGUGCGGCUGGAUCACCUCCUUU